GCAAGCAAAUUCAAAUUAAAGAAGUUAGGUUAGUUGUUUAGAGUCAUACCCAUUGCCUGAAUAUGUCAUUAAGCUGCAGCCAAAUAACUUACUGAUGCCAAGAAGCAUCUUACAUAGCCGUUAUUAGCGAAGCUGAGUAUGUGACCCGAAAUCAUUUCUUUUGUUAACUUGCAUAACUGCAAUCUCUUAGGGGAAACAUCAAGUGACGUCAUAUAUGAAAACUCACGCUCUCUUGCCUCCUCAUUGGCAUCGAUCAUAUCUUAUCUCUCUCGGGCAUUUCAACAAACAGGUUGUGUCAUAACUCAUCUGUCACAGUGUCACAUAUCACAUCAUAUUCAUGUUUAUUAUAAGAUUAAAAAUUAACUUACGCAAGAGAUAAUCACCGCCUUCAUUGUAUCCAGCCGGGCUUACGGGUCAUGAACCCUUCAUCCGCACCCCUAGAAAAAAAAUCUUGGGUCCGCCACUGCAUCAACUCCACCAUGAUUUUUUCAUUUCUUGAUUUGCAGGAAUCUAGAAAAAGAUUCCGUUAAAAGUUGAGAUAUGAGAACCAGUAGCGGUUCUGCAACAACAGAUGAACAGACACCGCAAUUUUUCACAUCGUCCCCUCGAUUCAUGAUGCUGCAAUUUUCUGAAUAAACCCAAUCUCCCUUCUUUCAUCUUCAUUUUUGUUCCUAAAAAUCUACUGAUACAAUACCCAAGAGUUCAUAAGAACUCAAGAACUAGAAUCUUUUUUGAUUUUUUUAGUUUUCUUAGGGAUUUUUCUUGAAUUUUAAGUUUCAAAAGACAAGAAAGAUCAAAGAACAGAGUGGACUUAAGUUAAUUAUUAGGAGAAAAGAGAGGAUUUUGCUUUGAAUUCAAGGAUUUCUGAUGAAAAUUUUGUUCAAGAAACAGGGGUUGAUAAAAAUGCAGCAAUUUGCACCCAAAUAAUUCAAAAUUCUUCCCCAAACUAGCGCCAUCUUCACCAACGUUAACGCUUAAUAUCAUGCCGUAAUGUUGUCUGCUUUGCAAUUGAUUCUUCGUAUUGUUGUUUAUGCAUUUUAUUCGUAAUUCAAAAUACGAUGAAUCUCAGCAGAAAUUAUUCAAUGUUAUGUGUGAAGUAUAUAUCUCAUGAGGUUUGGAAAAUUGUAUGAAUUCUAUGUACCCAUUAGGAUAAGGUUUUCUUAGCACAUCAUAUUAAGAAUUAUGCAUAAAAACUGUAGAAACUAGUAACUUGUUGUGUUCAUGACUUCAUGUUUCAUUCUUAUAAGAGCAUCAACAGUGGUCAAGUCCGUUGCCCAAGUCCACUCUUCGCACCACCGUUGCUGUGGGACUUUGACCAUGGUGGUCUGGUUUGUUCCACCCGACUACCUUGUUUGGAAUUGUGGGGACCACCCACUCACAAACCUUUUUUUGUUUUUGCUUUUUUAGUGUAAAAAGUGGGGUGUGAUAUGGAGGUUUGGAAUGAUGUGGCAUGCUAACGAGGCAGUCCGAAUUUUGGACUUUGACCAUGGUUGAAAAUUGUAAUCGCGUUUCCAAUGGAGCGUGGAAGGGAUAAAAGAAUAUACCUACCUGGUGCCAUGUGGUAAUCUUUGAUGGCAUGGUGUUUUAACGGCUAUGAUUGCUGCUCUAGCGUUAGUGGCCAACGGAACUAAGAUAAACGAUACGAAAAAUGAUGGUAUAUUUACAGCACUAGAGACGUUCUGAACACUGUGUAUUAGCGGUUCAGCCAAAAGAGCUAACAUGGUUAUUCCAAGCACCAACAACAUUAUCGCUUUUGUCCAGGCCCAUUUAGAUUUAUCUACUCCAUCAUCCAUCCAUCUUUCCCAUGGUUGCUGCAUACAUGUUGACUUUGUCGGUAAAUUUUAUAACUUCACAAAGUUAUGUCUAAAGUGGAGGGUUCAAAUGGGAUUAUGAGAAGAAAUUCUUUGUAAGAAGAAAAAAGAAGAAAUUUCAACCAAUACGAAUGCUUCAUUUUACUUUAUUGAAUAUUUGUAUUUAAUGUUAUUAUAAGGGUAUAUUGGUA
rnacentral:lncRNA from 1 species